rnacentral:antisense_RNA from 1 species
CUUGAUCGAACCCAGCAGCAGCGGCCGGUCACGAUCCUGUCCGUACGUCGCCAGGAGGGCCUGCGCCUC